CGAACACAGCCCCACUCCACCUCCACCUUCUUCCGCGCGCCCCCUCCCCCGGGUGCCCAUGGAACCAGCGCCGGCUCGACCCGCCUUCCCCGCCGCCGCAAAAACUGCCUCCACAGUCCCCGCGCACCGCCCAAAGCCAUGGCCCGCAUCGCCGCGCCACCCAGGCCCCUCUUUGCACUGAUGUGGAUGCCCUCCUCCACCACACCCCGCCCCGUUCCACCCUCCCUAACCCCCACUACCUUCCACGGCCGAUGCGUCCCAAUCCCCCGAUGCCUCCACCAACCGCGGGCGCCGGACUCCCCCACAGCCGCCUCCUUUCUCUCCGGUGGUCGGCUACCCAAGGGCCGAUGCGUGACCAUCUCCCCCCUCGCUGGAUCCGUUAGCAAGAUCCACGCUCACUGCGCCCACGGGAUCCCGCGUCGCCACCGGCGAACUCGCCGGAUACGACCUCCCUGAUGGCCAUGGAGUACGAAGACCACCGGAUCCCCCCUCCCCUGCGAUGAGAGGGUCCUUCUCCAGCGCGCCUACAAUGACCAGGGCGGGGGAGGUGCCCCCACUGCCUUGAUCUGAUCCCGAAAAAGGAGUUCCUCUCCGGUGAGGUUGACGGCUCGGAUUCAUCGCCGGGAGCCCACCACUCUGGCACCCCACCUACCCCCGACAACUUCCUCCUCCGGUGAGCCUGCCCAACCCGCAUCGGCACCUACCUGCGCCGCCCCUCCCUACCCCGCACCACCUCCGCCCGUCGUUGUCCCCAGCAUAUGUGCUGCCGCCACACACCUUUGGAUCUCAGCAGCCGCCCAGCCCACCGGCGCCUCUCCGGGCAUCUACUUCCUCACAGGCCGUAUGGCCCACGAGCAGUUCCGGUUGCAGAGGAACCCCGUCGCUGGCUCCGGCCCGCACCAUCUCCGCCCGUCGCCGUUCCCAGCACACGACCGUCCCCAAAACACUACCUCCUUCCCGUCUUUUUCCUGCAAUGCUCCAGCCCGCAGGCGAGUAGUGCGGCAGCGCCCCCUGUGCCUAUCAUCUCCACCCCGCUCGGCCUCCAUCUACACGGCGGCAUGAGUUAUGCGGUUCAGCUCGGGCGCACGCAUGAUGCGGUUCGGUGCCUGUGCACUUGAAGUCUCUAAUGCAGUUCCAUAAAGUCUCAAUGCAGUAGAAAACGCCCCUGGAAGAGCAGUAUUUCCAGUUGUGGCGUGGUUUGGUCAAUGACACAGCAACAAUGCUCUUGAAGAGCAGCAUCUACCCGUGUGCAGUUCAUAAAAAGUUUGACCGGGUGAUAAAAUGCUAAUUAUGUGCAUGCUCCGCGGUGCAGUUUAGAGCAAAAACGGCUGUGUUCGACCCCUCGAGGUGCAGUGCAAUACGGCUUGCAUGCAGUACCAGCGUAGCGUGCGUGCAAUCACCUCCUCCCUGGCAUUCCUGGACGCCUGCCGGCCGACAUCUACACCAAAGUUGGAGACGAGCUUCACCGGUCUUUGUUGUGCAGUUAACUCACUUCGUCCCCUUCGUUGGCGAAACCGUGCACAUUCUUCCUCUCUGGGUUCAGUAGCGCAAGGUCUCCCUGGAGCAGUCCACAAAGCAAGCGCAUGUGGCCAUCAUCGACUCGCCAUGCAGUGCACUUCUGUACUGUGAGGCUCACAUCGUCGGGAUUAUGACAAAUUUUGAAGUUUGCUUCAAUCGCAUUCACCUCGAUGGCUCACCAUGCAGUUUACUCGAUGUGCGUGUAGUCUGCUUGUAGUCCCACUGGAUGUGCGUGUAGUCUGCCUCUCACCCCGCGCAUGCGUGCAGUACAUUUUUUUCAUGAAAAAGAUGCGCGACGUAGUUCACUCCAUCCAUGUUUUGCAUUUUUUGGAGAUUUCUUUUGAAGUGCACUCAGUUUGUGUAAAAAAGAAUGAUGUUUCAUUACCCCUAUGUAUGAAGUGCAAUUUGUUUCGUGUGUUUAAAAAAUCAGUCGACUAUA